AGCGAACGUUAGCGGCGGGCCUAACACAUGCAAGUCGCACGAGAAAACGGCUUCGGCCGUGAGUAAAGUGGCGGACGGGUGAGUAACACGUGGGUAAUCUGCCCUUCGGUGGGGGAUAACUGUCCGAAAGGAAAGCUAAUACCGCAUUCGUCGGCGGGGAUUUCGGUUCCUGUUGGGAAAGCCGGCCUCUUUCUGAAAGCUGGCGCCGAAGGAGGAGCCCGCGGCCCAUCAGCUAGUUGGUGAGGUAAUGGCUCACCAAGGCUUAGACGGGUAGCUGGUCUGAGAGGAUGAUCAGUCACACUGGAACUGAGACACGGUCCAGACUCCUACGGGAGGCAGCAGUGGGGAAUAUUGGACAAUGGGCGAAAGCCUGAUCCAGCCAUGCCGCGUAUGUGAAGAAGGUCUUCGGAUUGUAAAGCACUUUAAGUUGGGAGGAAGGGUAUUCACCUAAUACGUGGGUACUUUGACGUUACCAACAGAAUAAGCACCGGCUAACUCUGUGCCAGCCGCCGCGGUAAAAC
rnacentral:rRNA from 1 species